rnacentral:lncRNA from 1 species
GGUCUUUGCUCUGGAGGAACUGAUGUCCAAAUACUCUGCCUUAGGCUCAUGAGAUUUGAAGACAUAUAGACAACAUGGAUUUUGGUCUUGGAGCAAUGUUAGUAGGACAAUAAUGUCCUCAAGCAUUGAUAAUAACCAAUUUAACCUUCACUAUGCCUGAAGUUCUGCAACAGCAGUGAUUUGCCUGUCAACAGGACUGUGACACUGAACAGAAAUGUACUCAAGUUCACAGUAUCAGAUUCCGGGAACACACCUCUGCAUUCAGGAAAGGGAUCAAGUUCCUCAUGGUCUAUAAUACCAGUAGCAGGGAAAAUCUCUGGGUGGUGACUUCAUGGCUGGGACAGUCUUUGGAGUGAGAAUGGGAAAGGAGCUAGAAAAAGGUGAGGCUUCUACAAGAACAGAGUAUGGCUAAAGAAAGACUUGAGGAGACAAAAUUUUGGGAGGUUUUGGGAUUUUUUUGCCUGUUGAGGGAUAAGUCCACAAAGAUAGUUUUAGUUUUGUUUUGUUUGGCUGCACUCGGGGCUUGCAGAAGUUCCCAAGCCUGGGAUUGAAUCCAGCACCAAGGCAGCUUCCCUGAGCCCCUGUAAUGAAAACACUGGGUCUGUAACCCACUGAGCCACAAGAGAACUCCAACAAUUUUAGUCUUUGAUUGCUUUUUCUUUUUUCCUUCUUUCUUUCUUUCUUUUUCUUCUUUUUUUUUUUUUUUUUUUUUUCCUUUUUAGGGCCAUGCCUGUGGGAUAUGGGAUAUGGAGGUUCCCAGGCUAAGGGGUUGAAUCAGACCUAUAGCCACCAGCUUACAACACAGUCACAACAGUACCAGAUGAGAGUCACAUCUCUGACCUACGCCUCAGAUCAUGGCAAUGCCAGAUCCUUAACCCACUGAUCAAGGCCAGGGAUCAAACCUACAUCCUCAUGGGUACUAGUGGGGUUCUUAACCUGCUGAGCCACAACAGGAACUCCUGAUUGCCUUUUCAAUUAUCCAGUUUCUUUUGUUCCUUUAGCACAACAGUUGUCAACCAGUUGCCCCUUGAAACACCCGUGGGAACAUUUCCCACCAGCCAUGCCAUUACACCAGAGUUGGCACAUCCUUAGUCUUUCACUUAAUAAAAACACAAAUUAGGAGUUCCCGUCGUGGCUCAGUGGUUAACAAAUCCAACUAGGAACCAUGAGGUUGCAGGUUCAAUCCCUGGCCUUGCUCAGUGGGUUAAGGAUCUGGCGUUGCUGGAGCUGUGGUGUAGGUUGCAGACGUGGCUCAGAUCCUGCGUUGUUGUGGCUCUGGCGUAGGCUGGCGGCUAUAGUUCCAAUUAGACCCCUAGCCUGGGAACCUCCAUAUGCUACAGGUGCGGCCCUAGAAAAUACAAAAAGACAAAAAUAAAUAAAUAAAUAAAAUAAAAAUAAACAUAAAUAUUACAUUAACAUAUAUUAAAGCACAAAUUAACGGGAAUGACAUGGCACAGAACACUGGUUCUCAGCCAAGGUGGAUUUGUCUUCAGGGAGCAUUUGUUAAUGUCUGGAGACAGGUCUGAUUGUUGCAACAGCAGGAAGUGGGGUUGCUACUGGCAUUUAGUGGGAAGAGGUGGGGAAUCCUGCUAAACAAGUCCCCACCCAGACUUAAUGAAGUAGAAACUAAGGGUGAGGGCCCGUAUCUAUGGUGUAAGAAGUCUUCCAGAUAAUUUUGCAUGUUUCUCAAGUCUGAGAACUACUGACAGCUCAGUUGGACUGUAAUUUUCAAAUAACGUAAAUUUUUUUACCAAUGUCACUACUUUAUGAUAUUCAAAUUCACUGUAAAAAUUGUUUUUGAAACACUUCAUAAUCUACAGAGACCAUGAUUGAAAACAGUUGCUUAGUUUUAAGUUUCAGGGAGGUGUGGCCCAGUGCAUAGCCUCAGGUAAUAAUAACAAACUGAAAGGGAAUUUUUUUAAAGGCAAAUUUCUGAUGGCUGCACAGCCUGUUAACAAUAAUGUACUUAUAACAGGGCGAUCAGUCAUACUCAGGUGGGAUGUCAGAGAUUUCCUAACCUGAUUAAUUUGAAUUUCUUAAUGAUGAAAAACUCGUAAUAAUUAGAUUGACUAAUAAGAGGUGGUAACCUAAGUACAACCAGUGAUACAAGAAAGAGGAAGGAUCAAUCCAGUUUCACCUAAAGGAUAUCACAGACCUUUAUGUUUAAUGUUGAGUAUAUAUUAAUAUUGAGAUGAUAAGCUUUUAGUGAAGAAGAAAGAAAAUAUGGGAAUCCCCCCACCAAAGUAAACAAAACACACACUACUCAGACUGUGACUUAGGGAUGAGCAGUUUUGGCAAUAUGUGGGAGCUGUUAGCCACACAGAAUCUCAGGCCAGCUGCAGACUCAUUGCAUUAAAUCUAUAAGCACUAUGUUUUCGUGAGUUCUCCCGGUAAUUCAUACACACAUAAGAGUUUGAGAAGCACUGGAAUAACUCAAGAACAGUGUGAAGUAGAUCAUUUCCUUGCUGUUUUUGUUUUGCUGUACGGCAGAAACGUCUUCAUGAGUUCCAUUAUAAUAGCAUUCGAAUACACCAGGAAACUACGGUAAACUUUUUCUCUGCUUUCUUUGGAAAUGAAGCGUUCUAUUUUUGAAAUAACAGAAAAUUUCCUAAUCAGGUUUCUAUCGUUGCCAAAACUGGGUAAUUUUUUGUUGCCAACAUCCAGGCAGAUAAAAGAAAGAAGGUCAUAUCCAUGAUAGGCAGUCUUUUCCUCUUUUCUUUCAUUACUCCUUCUCAGCCUCCCAUCACCACUGCACAGUUUGUAAUUUCAUUCAUUCAGUAAAUAGUUAUUAGGAAUCCCGUGUGUGCCAGGCUCUGUUCUAAGUGUUGGUGGUUUACAGAAUGAAAAACAGCUCAUGUCUAUAUUUGAGGGCAUAAUUUCUAGUAAACUAUAUACAAGUGAGAUAAAUAAGACUCUCAACUAUUUGUUUUCAAGUGUCAAGUAAAUUUGACAAAAGUUUAAAACAUUAAAUAAAUGAAGUAAGAGACAGAACUAUAGUCUACUCUUCUUUGAUCAUAUUUGGCACAUGUUUUAUAAAUAUUUUCCUAUAUGAACUUUCUAUUAUAGUUUCUUACCAUUUAUUAAUCUUUGAAAUAAAUGACAAAUAAAUGAGCAAGGAUAAAGCAAUAGAAAGAAGUCUAGGAUGAAGGUCUUUUCUGUUUGGGCCCCUGGGUUGGUCAUUUGUCUUGGACUAAAGUCACUUUCUAUUCUAUCAACUCAGCCAAUGAGUCAGGAUGUCUCCCCCAUACUCAAGGGAAAGAAAAAUGUGAUUUAAUUUUUUUCACUUAUCUGACAUUCCUUCAGAUAAGAAACACUGGAAAGGGUACCAUUUGGGCGUUGGGAGAAGGGAAUUUGAGUCAUGGCUUUGUCACUAACUAGCCAUGAGACUUUGAGUUCAUUCUAUCACAUCUCUGAACCUCAGUUUCCUAAUAUGUAAAAUGGCAAUAAACAUAAUAAAAUUUAUGAAAGUGGUUAGAUAUAAAAAUAUCAUUAAUCAUGUGGGAAAGAAUUAUUGUCUUUUGGGUCUUGCAUUAUUUCAGAAAUAAUGAUCUCUCUGGGCUGUUAUCCUGAAAGAGGAAGUAAGCUGAAGUAGAUGGAAUUCUGAAUAACAAGGGUGAUUGCUGUAAAACAUACCUGCUGAAAUUUGUUUACGAUAGACCACUAAAGACCCAGACUUAUUUUGCCUAAUCUUAUCUAGAGUUUCUCUUGAAAAUAUCUAUUCAUUUAACUUUACCAGACUCUAACAGGUGUCUGUCGCUUUUAAGUCCAGGUUGAGGUAUCACUAAAGAAUAGAGGUUAUUUAUAUACAGUCCCUGCUGUUGUUCUCUUGCAAUAAGUAUGUAUUAACAUACCAGGUGAGAGUGAGUGACCAAUCAGAACAAAGGAACAAAAUUUAAGGCAGAUAUUCUCUCUUGGGUAAGAGAAAUCAUUCUUCAUUAUUUACUGAUGUCAUCAUUAUUGAUUAGAAUUGUUUCAUUGCACAUAUGUAAAUAAGUAAAACAUAUGUGCAGAGAUGAGAAAAGGGGAAAAGUUUACAUAAAGUGAGAUAUUCUUCCACCUUUGUCAUUAAAACUCAUAGUUUUGUUUUUCUCCUUUUGUGUGUCCUCUCAAUCAUUUUUUUUUCUUUUUUGCCACCAUCAGAUGUGGGUCACGGUUGCAUUGUGGCAAUGCCAGAUCCUUAACCCACUGUGCCAGGCUGGGGACUGAAGCUGCAUCCCAACAUUCCAGAGAUAAUGCCCAUCCUAUUGGGCCACAAUGGGAACUCCUGUCCUCUCUAUCUUGUCCAAAAAUUUGAUUGAUUAGCACUUUAGGAGAGAUCAUUUGAGAAUUUACUUCCAGUCUUUGCCCAAUUUCAUUCUUUUUUUUUUUUAAUGCCAGAAAUAUUAUUAUACAUGACCAAGCAGUUUCUGUGUCCUCAGCUCCCCUUUUCUUCAUGCCCGGGCAGUCAGAACUUCUCCAUUAUUGCUUCUCAUCUAUGUAAAGAGAAAGAAAUCUAAUCUUAUGUUCUGCUGUGCUCUCAUUUAAUCCUGAAAACAAUGUCAAGAAUUAUUCACAGGUGAGGAGAUAUGGGCAUGAAAAGUGACAAAUUAUGAUUAUGUAGUUAAUACAUUGCAGACCCUGGAUUUUCACUGAGGUUUGACUCCAAAAUUCAUCAUAUUAUCAUACUAUUGUCUCUAUCCUGCUGGAGAUCUUUUUUUAAUACUCACACUUUUUUGGACUAAAAAUCCAAAUUUUCUUUUUAGCCUGUAUCAUUUAAAUCACAAAUACUAUGAACACCAUAAGUCCGAAAAUAUUAAAAGACAUGAUGCAACUUUAAAGUAAUAGGGCACUUUAGUGUUUAAUAAUUCCUUUUUAUAUAAUACCUCAUAUUUCUCUCAACAAUAAUAUGAGAUGAAUCUCUCUCUCUCUCUUUUAAUGGGGAAACCAAGAUUUAGAGGGCUAACUAACUGACUUGUGGGAGAUAGCACAUGACAAUUGUCACUGAAUGUGAAUUUGGGUCUUCUGGCUCCAAGUCUAGAAGAGCUGCAUUACUCUUUUCCGUUCAGAGGGUUUUGUUGAGGCAACAUCUGUAACUUUUCUGCCCCAUGGGGCAGACCAUUAGAGGAAGGACAACAAAGACCUCAGUAAUUCUUAACAGUGGUUUCCCUCCACUAACGAUUUCAGGAGUUGCCCCUCCCCCAUUUCCUUUCUAUUUUUCAGCGAAGAGCUAGAGUCUUUAUGUUCCGCAGUGGCAGGCAUUUGAGCUUUCUUGUCCUAGAGAUAUGCUUAUCCUCUUUCCUUCCGCAUGGCCUCAUUCAGUGAGAAGUUCAAGUACCAUUUGCAGUGGGGGUAUAGGAACUUUGUCGCUAACUGGAAAGCAGCUGAGCCUAACUCUUGCAAAAACCAGUCCCACUGGCAUUCAUCAUUGCCAAAAUGGGGAAAGCUAUUGGUCUCACUUGCUACUCCUAUGGAGAGAGCUCUUGUUCUUCUUGGGUUAACUUUUCUCUCUUUUUCUUUAGUUUUCUUACAACAUUAUCCACAUUUGAGUUCUUUUCCUUAGCAUGUAGGGACCUGAGUGCUUUGUUCUUGCCUGGGUUUCUGAAGGCUGGCAUGGAGUUUGCUAAGAACAUGAAGCUUCACAAAGGAAAACAUUGUAGGGCAAAGGGAAAGCAAAACAGAAUCUUGGGGAAAGUGAAGUUUUAAGUCUAGUAGUCCAAACAAAGAAUUCAAUUAAAAGGGUGAGUGUUUGUCAUGGGAGAAAAAUCAGAUGCAAGGUCAAGAGGCCAAGACCAUGGUGAGGAGAAAAGCAACGGCUAGCUUGGUUGGGCCUACAAAGACAGAGCAUGAGGCAUUUUAUCAAAGCACCCAGAAUAGGGAUUAGAUUACUUUAACAUAGUCCAGGGACAUGACUUUUGUUCUAAUUCCUUUCCUCUUCAGUUGAGAUCCUGAUUCCAAGUGAGAUGGAAGGAAUGGAGGUUUCAAGUCAGGUCUAAGUCAGGUUGAAUACUUCAGUGAGGAACUUGGGGAAAAAUUACCCUGGGCUCAAAGGACAUUUUGGGACAUUUAAACAAUACCAUCAGGGCUUCACUUAAAAAAAAAUAAUAAUUUUCAAUCAAUCACAAACUAUUAUCUUAUUGCCACAGAGGCACUUCCCUCCCUUCCCAGCCAUUCUAUUUCCUACUAUCUAGUGCUUGAGUUCAAGUUUUACACAGACCUUACAACUCCCCGCUCUUGUUAAACUAGUAUUUUCACUUAUCUCCUCUGACUCCUGCAGGCAUCUGAGGUUAUACUCUCACUGUAGAGGCAUCAAUAAACUUUGCUCCUACUCCUUUCUUUUUCACUUAGGAAUCUCAAUUCCAGUGCCUUUAUACCUCAAGUAACCCUCAAAUAAUUCCUCUCCUCCUUCCAAGUUUUCUGGAGAAUCUUCUUGGUUCUUGGAACCCUUAUGAAGUUUCUAAACCAAUAAACUAUUGAACAACUCUACAGACAUUAACUUACAUGAUAUAAAUUAUCUCAUGGGGCAGUAUUUGAUUAAUUUCCAAAUGUGCAGCUAAGUUAGGAAAGUGAGGUUAGAAAUGAUUGAUUUUAUAUAUAUAUAUAUGUAUAUGUAUAUGUAUACACACAGAACCUUUUACUUUUCCUUUUAUAUAUGACUUUGGAAAAUGUAAAAUCACAUUGUUUGGGGGCACAAAAUUCUAAAUUCUAUUAUGCAAUACUUAGGGUUGCUUAUUUAAACAUUUCAGUCUGUUAUAUUUAGUAUAAGAGAUACACUUGUCUUAUUGAAAGACUAUGGGAGAAAGUGGUCCCCUUGCCCUGAUCCCCUCAUUUUUCUUUUGAAGAGGUUGGGAAGCAAUAGGAACAAAAGUCCAGAAAAAAACAGUCUAAAUUUUUCUCUUUUUAUUCCCAGGUCUUUCCAUGUCUAGUCAAGGAAAGCAUCAAGACUGGUCCUAUGGAAAUUUCCUUGGAGAAUUGCCUUUGAGGGGUGGGAAGGAUUUACAUAAGUGGAGUAGAAGUGGAAAGACAGUUUGCCUUAGUCAUAAAAGUGUGUGUAUAAGCACAAAUACAGCAAUGUGAAAGACUGUAACAGAGACUUCUGAGUCGAAGAUGGGCAGAAGUAAAAGUCUGAUGUGAUAAGGGUCUUAUUUUCCCUUUAAAAAUUCUCCAAUAUAGCUGAAAAUAAGUGCAAUAUAUUUUCCCCUCUGAUAAAUUCUGUCUCCAUUUAAAACAUAUUUAUCAAUCAACACAUAUUUAUAGAAUAUUUUCCCUCAUGUGAUAAAUAUAUAGUAUAUGUUCUCAACAAAGACAAGUGCAAAGAAGCUAUUUACACCUAACUUUAUGAGCCAAAAAUUAAGACAAAAACUUGAACACAGAACUGCCCUUGAAAAUCCUGAGCAGAAGUUCCCAUUGUGGCUCAGCAGUAAGGAACCCAGCUAGUAUCCAUGAGGGCGUGGGUUUGAUUCUGCCCCCGGCUCAGUGGGCUAAGGACCUGGCAUUUCCAUGAGCUGUGGUGUAGGUCAGAGACAUGGUUCACAUCUAGUGUUGCUGUGGCUGCAGCAUAGGCCAGCAGCUGCAGCUCUGAUUGGACCUCUAGCCUGGGAACUUCCAUAUGCCACAGGUGCACCCCUAAAAAAAAAAACUAAAAAAAAA